rnacentral:siRNA from 1 species
GAUUUUGAUACUGUUACCUGUUGC